rnacentral:rRNA from 1 species
UGUGCUAAUACCGCAUAAUCUCUCAGGAGAAAAGCAGGGGAUCGCAAGACCUUGCGCUUUAGGAGCGGCCGAUGCCUGAUUAGCUUGUUGGUAAGGUAAAAGCUUACCAAGGCUUCGAUCAGUAGCUGGUCUGAGAGGACGACCAGCCACACUGGGACUGAGACACGGCCCAGACUCCUACGGGAGGCAGCUAGUGGGGAAUUUUGGACAAUGGGGGAAACCCUGAUCCAGCCAUGCCGCGUGAGUGAAGAAGGCCUUCGGGUUGUAAAGCUCUUUCAGCCGGAACGAAACGGU